rnacentral:rRNA from 1 species
AAUGGGCGAAAGCCUGAUCCAGCAAUGCCGCGUGCAGGAUGAAGGCCUUCGGGUUGUAAACUGCUUUUGUACGGAACGAAAAAGCUUCUCCUAAUACGAGAGGCCCAUGACGGUACCGUAAGAAUAAGCACCGGCUAACUACGUGCCAGCAGCCGCGGUAAUACGUAGGGUGCGAGCGUUAAUCGGAAUUACUGGGCGUAAAGCGUGCGCAGGCGGUUAUGUAAGACAGAUGUGAAAUCCCCGGGCUCAACCUGGGAACUGCAUUUGUGACUGCAUGGCUAGAGUACGGUAGAGGGGGAUGGAAUUCCGCGUGUAGCAGUGAAAUGCGUAGAUAUGCGGAGGAACACCGAUGGCGAAGGCAAUCCCCUGGACCUGUACUGACGCUCAUGCACGAAAGCGUGGGGAGCAAA